rnacentral:lncRNA from 1 species
CUGCGGAGGCGACUCCUGCACCCGCCGGGCCCACGCUGGGGUCACGGUGGAGGAACUCAGAAGCUCUUUGCUGCAGCCCAGUGGCCGCCGGCGGAACCUGACGGGGCUCGAGGCCCGGGCGGGACAGGGCCAGGCCGUGAGCGUGCCCUUUAUCCCCCACAGCCGUGAGUUUGGGGGCAUCUGUCCCCCUUCGCAGGAUCUGGCACCGUGCACCCUCUGGCUCUUCCCCAAAGUCAGAAUGACCAUGAAAGGAGCCUCCAUUCUGAUUUCCAUAAUGGCUUCAGUAACCUACAUUCCCAGCAGGAGCCCACAAAGAUUCCUUUUCCUCCACACCUUCACCAAUACCUGGCAGCCCUUGCUCCCUUACUAACAGCCAUUUACCAGAGAAUGAACUAAGGCACCUCCCUAUUCAGAGGUUCUCCAGAAACAGUGAGGAGACUGCAGACCUCCGACAUCUACCUGCUGCUCAGG